rnacentral:rRNA from 1 species
GACGAACGCUGGCGGCGUGCUUAACACAUGCAAGUCGAACGGAAAGGCCCUGCUUUUGUGGGGUGCUCGAGUGGCGAACGGGUGAGUAACACGUGAGUAACCUGCCCUUGACUUUGGGAUAACUUCAGGAAACUGGGGCUAAUACCGGAUAGGAGCUCCUGCUGCAUGGUGGGGGUUGGAAAGUUUCGGCGGUUGGGGAUGGACUCGCGGCUUAUCAGCUUGUUGGUGGGGUAGUGGCUUACCAAGGCUUUGACGGGUAGCCGGCCUGAGAGGGUGACCGGCCACAUGGGGACUGAGAUACGGCCCAGACUCCUACGGGAGGCAGCAGUGGAGAAUAUUGCACAGUGGGCGGAAGCCUGAUGCAGCAACGCCGCGUGCGGGAUGACGGCCUUCGGGUUGUAAACCGCUUUCGCCUGUGACGAAGCGUGAGUGACGGUAAUGGGUAAAGAAGCACCGGCUAACUACGUG